rnacentral:rRNA from 1 species
CCUACGGGUGGCUGCAGUGGGGAAUUUUGGACAAUGGGCGAAAGCCUGAUCCAGCAAUGCCGCGUGAGUGAAGAAGGCCUUCGGGUUGUAAAGCUCUUUUGUUUGGGAAGAAAUCCCUAAGGAUAAUACCCUUGGGGGAUGACGGUACCAAAAGAAUAAGCACCGGCUAACUACGUGCCAGCAGCCGCGGUAAUACGUAGGGUGCAAGCGUUAAGCGGAAUUACCGCACGUAAAGCGUGCACACAGGGGUGAAAUCCCCGAGAUCAACUUGGGAACUGCACUUGUGACUGCAAGACUAGAGUGUGUCAGAGGGAGGUAGAAUUCCACGUGUAGCAGUGAAAUGCGUAGAUAUGUGGAGGAAUACCAGUGGCGAAGGCGGCCUCCUGGGAUAACACUGACGCUCAUGUACGAAAGCGUGGGGAGCAAACAGGAUUAGAUACCCCAGUAGUC